GUGCCAGCCGCCGCGGUAAUACGGAGGGGGCAAGCGUUGCUCGGAAUUACUGGGCGUAAAGGGUCCGUAGGCGGUUUUGCAAGUUGGAUGUGAAAGCUCAAGGCUUACCUUGGAAUUGCAUCCAAAACUGCAUAACUUGAGUCCAAGAGAGGUUGGCGGAAUUCCCGGUGUAGCGGUAAAAUGCGUAGAUAUCGGGAGGAACACCAGUGGCGAAGGCGGCCAACUGGCUUGGUACUGACGCUGAGGGACGAAAGCGUGGGGAGCGAACCGGAUUAGAUACCCGGGUAGUCC
rnacentral:rRNA from 1 species